rnacentral:rRNA from 1 species
GGCUGCAGUAGGGAAUUUUCCGCAAUGCACGAAAGUGUGACGGAGCGACGCCGCGUGUGUGAUGAAGGCUUUCGGGUCGUAAAGCACUGUUGUAAGGGAAGAAUAACUGAAUUCAGAGAAAGUUUUCAGCUUGACGGUACCUUACCAGAAAGGGAUGGCUAAAUACGUGCCAGCAGCCGCGGUAAUACGUAUGUCCCGAGCGUUAUCCGGAUUUAUUGGGCGUAAAGCGAGCGCAGACGGUUUAUUAAGUCUGAUGUGAAAUCCCGAGGCCCAACCUCGGAACUGCAUUGGAAACUGAUUUACUUGAGUGCGAUAGAGGCAAGUGGAACUCCAUGUGUAGCGGUGAAAUGCGUAGAUAUGUGGAAGAACACCAGUGGCGAAAGCGGCUUGCUAGAUCGUAACUGACGUUGAGGCUCGAAAGUAUGGGUAGCAAACGGGAUUAGAUACCCCGGUAGUCCAUACCGUAAACGAUGGGUGCUAGUUGUUAAGAGGUUUCCGCCUCCUAGUGACGUAGCAAACGCAUUAAGCACCCCGCCUGAGGAGUACGGCCGCAAGGCUAAAACUUAAAGGAAUUGACGGGGACCCGCACAAGCGGUGGAGCAUGUGGUUUAAUUCGAAGAUACGCGAAAAACCUUACCAGGUCUUGACAUACCAAUGAUCGCUUUUGUAAUGAAAGCUUUUCUUCGGAACAUUGGAUACAGGUGGUGCAUGGUCGUCGUCAGCUCGUGUCGUGAGAUGUUGGGUUAAGUCCCGCAACGAGCGCAACCCUUGUUAUUAGUUGCCAGCAUUUAGUUGGGCACUCUAAUGAGACUGCCGGUGAUAAACCGGAGGAAGGUGGGGACGACGUCAGAUCAUCAUGCCCCUUAUGACCUGGGCAACACACGUGCUACAAUGGGAAGUACAACGAGUCGCAAACCGGCGACGGUAAGCUAAUCUCUUAAAACUUCUCUCAGUUCGGACUGGAGUCUGCAACUCGACUCCACGAAGGCGGAAUCGCUAGUAAUCGCGAAUCAGCAUGUCGCGGUGAAUACGUUCCCGGGUCUUGUACACACCGCCCGUCAAAUCAUGGGAGUCGGAAGUACCCAAAGUCGCUUGGCUAACUUUUAGAGGCCGGUGCCUAAGGUAAAAUCGAUGACUGGGAUUAAGUCGUAACAAGGUAGCCGUAGGAGAACCUGCGGCUGGAUCACCUCCUUUCUAAGGA